GGGGAUGUAGCUCAGUUGGUAGAGUACUUGCCUUACAUGCACAAGGUCCUGGGUUUGAAUCCCCAGCACCCA
rnacentral:tRNA from 1 species